rnacentral:rRNA from 1 species
CAAGUCGAACGCUUCCUGAGUGGCUUGCCAUUCAGGAAGAGUGGCGAACGGGUGAGUAACACGUAGGUGACCUGCCCCGAAGAGGGGGAUAACUGCUGGAAACGGCAGCUAAUACCCCAUGUGGUCAUGGGGGCUAGAGGCCUCAUGAUUAAAGCUCCGGUGCUUCGGGAGGGGCCUGCGGCCUAUCAGCUUGUUGGUGGGGUAAUGGCCCACCAAGGCAAUGACGGGUAGCUGGUCUGAGAGGACGAUCAGCCACACGGGCACUGAGACACGGGCCCGACUCCUACGGGAGGCAGCAGUGAGGGAUAUUGCGCAAUGGGCGAAAGCCUGACGCAGCAACGCCGCGUGGGCGAUGAAGGCCUUCGGGUUGUAAAGCCCUUUUCUGGGGGAAGAGGAAGGACG